AUGGCUGUCAGUGAGCACUUUGUAACCUCAGAGGGACACGGGGCAGCAGGGCCUCCCUCAUCUUGUUUUCUGUGGAUUGCUCUGGUGCCUCAGCGAUAUUUUUCCCCCAUUCCAGUGCCCGUGGUAAACAGUGGGAAUGUCCUGGGCUGGGGGCGGGGCCCUCCAGCGUCCAGCAUAGCAACAGUGGCUUCAAACACUGCAGCCACCGCCGCCACCGCCAGCAGCAGGGUGUUGGACAUGGGGCCCUUCCUCUGCCCCCGCUGCCGCUUGGCGUUCAGGUCCCGACCGCUGCUGCGGGUGCACAUGGAGAAGCUGUGCCUCGGGCCCACGGCACCCAGCAGCAGCUCCGGCCUCCGUGGGGGGAACCCGCUGCCUGCGGAGGGAGCGCAGGGCACGGCAAGGAAACCACAGGACUUGUCGGCCGGAGUGUCCCAAAAUACGGACAACGCUGAGCCACGCCAUCACUUUGUGCCUCGUGGGGUCGCACCAGCUCCGCGGGGACAGCAGGGACCAGGGCGGGCACGGGGAGCUCCCCUGGGGGAUGUGCUGACCCCCCGCGAGAGGGCCUUGCUCCGCACGGCCAACCCCACCGCUAGGAGGCUGCCAGGAGAGGGAGAGCCCCCCCGGCAGCCGCCCCCACGGCAGGAACAGCGGCAGCCGCCGCAGGAGCUGCUGGAAGCCCACGAACGCCAGGUGGCCGAGAUCCGGGCCAGCACCCGGCAGCUGGAGCGGCAGAGAGAGGGGCUGUGCCGGCAGCUGGCGACCCUGGGGGCCAGGGCUGAGCAGGGGGAGCCCGAGCAGGGGGAGCCCGAGCCGAGCCAAGGCCUGAGGGACCAGGCCGGACAUGUCCAAACAGCACAGCACCGGGCCACCCUAGACCUCGACACCCUCCUUCCACCCGCAGGGCCGCUCGCGGCCGAGGCCAGGGCACUGCGAGUGUCCUACUUGCACUCCGGGGGACACGACCCGGCCAUCCUGGACCAGCUCCUCCACCUCCAGCUGGAGGCCACGGUGCUGGAGAAAGGAACGGCGGGGCUGCACAGGGGUAGGCAGAUGGAGCCCCCCAGCACUGGCACUCACAGUCUGGAUGCAGCACUACUGGCCAUGGAGCUGGAGAACCAGCGUCUGGAAGAUGAACUGUUGGCACUGAAGGUCAGAAGGGAGAGGAGAGCAGAUGCUGGCUCACAGGCAGCCCAGCGGCACACGCAGGAACUGGCCCGGCUCCAGGCAGAGGUGGGGAUGCUGCGAUGCCACGCAGAGCAGACAAGGCCAUGGAUGCACCCCUCUGUCUGCCCUUACCCUGUAGCCCAUCCACUGCCACCAGCCCCGGCUGUGCCAGAAUUUCUCACGGAGCCCCCCAGGCCAGCACUGGGGCCUGGCAGAGCCACAGCCCAUGUGCCCCCUGGACACCCCCUCACCCCCUUUGUGGCCCUGGAGGACCCUCCUCCUGCUCAGGAGCCCCCAGCACAGGACAGGGCUCCCCAAAGGUGA
rnacentral:lncRNA from 1 species